GAUGAACGCUGGCGGCGUGCUUAACACAUGCAAGUCGAACGGUGAAGGCGGAGCUUGCUCUGCUGGAUCAGUGGCGAACGGGUGAGUAACACGUGAGCAAUCUGCCCCUGACUCUGGGAUAAGCGCUGGAAACGGCGUCUAAUACUGGAUACGAGCUGCGAAGGCAUCUUCAGCAGCUGGAAAGAAUUUCGGUCAGGGAUGAGCUCGCGGCCUAUCAGCUUGUUGGUGAGGUAAUGGCUCACCAAGGCGUCGACGGGUAGCCGGCCUGAGAGGGUGACCGGCCACACUGGGACUGAGAGGCGGCCCAGACUCCUACGGGAGGCAGCAGUGGGGAAUAUUGCACAAUGGGCGAAAGCCUGAUGCAGCAACGCCGCGUGGGGGAAGACGGCCUUCGGGUUGUAAACCUCUUUUAGCAGGGAAGAAGCGAAAGUGACGGAACCUGCAGAAAAAGCGCCGGCUAACUACGU
rnacentral:rRNA from 1 species